GCUGAAUUGUGAGUGGCAGAAGAGAUGGCUGCGCACAGGGCUGGCACGAGGAGGCAGGAGGACGAGCAGAGCAGCUCUGCUUUGGCAGCUCUGGGAGUUCCAGGAACUUAUCAGUUUUCUUCACACGAAAUCUUUAGGCAGAGUGGCCCCAACUAGGGCUGGGACAGCCUCAGAUGACGUGACACCUGAAUUUAGCCCACGGAGCCAGUGAACCUGGAUGCUUGACAGCUUACUCAAACCACUGCACACCUCGAGAGACUGCAGCUCUUCUGUGCAACUAUUGGUCUCUCCUAUUAUAGCCUGGCAGGAUGUCAAGGUGCACAGACACGACCCAGAGCCUAACACCCGGUGGCUGCUUCGCCUCCCGUCCCACCCCUUUCACACAGGCAGGAGUGGCAAACCCAUUUCUGGCAUACCAGGAAAUCCUGGUUCUUGCUGUUAUCACGCAGGCGUUAGACAGCACCGAGCUGCAACCAGUCGGACCUGCGGGAAGGAGGGAUGAAGGGAGGGGGAAGAGCUCCCUUGGAAAGAGCGCGGCAGCACCAGGCAGUGGGUUGGACAUGCUGGAGUGAAACUUGGCAUCAGGGAACGGAGGGAAUGCAUUUGCCCGGUAGACGUGGCACUUGAGCGAGAGAUCAAACGAAAUGGCCGUGGAAAUCUUGAGCAAUCAACUAGUUAGCACAGGGGAUUUUUCUGCUGUUCUGAAUAAGGUUCCACUGUGCUGGCUGUCAGUCAC
rnacentral:lncRNA from 1 species